UACGUAGGGGGCAAGCGUUGUCCGGAAUCAUUGGGCGUAAACAGCGUGUAGGCGGCUCGGUAAGUCCGCUGUGAAAGUCCAGGGCUCAACCCUGGAAUGCCGGUGGAAACUGUCGGGCUAGAAUCCGGAAGAGGCGAGUGGAAUUCCUGGUGUAGCGGUGAAAUGCGCAGAUAUCAGGAGGAACACCAAUGGCGAAGGCAGCUCGCUGGGACGGUAUUGACGCUGAGACGCGAAAGCCAGGGUAGCAAACGGG
rnacentral:rRNA from 1 species